UGUGUGUGUGUGUGUGUGUGUGUGUCUGUGUGUCUGUGUGUGUGUGUUAAUGCUAUGGCAUUCUAUUAUUUAUCCUAUCACACAUAUAUUUAGAUAUAAAGAUUUAUAUUUAGGGCAUGAUAUUUUAUUUAUAUUUGGGCCACAUUUGUCAGAUGAAAGGAAUUAUAUAUCGCUGUUGGUACAGUAAAGAUGUUCGUUGAACCAAGUGUAAAGCACUAACAAUUGUUAGGUUAACCCAUUCCCCUUGUAAGAUAGCUACUAUAAGAUGCUACACAAUGCUACGUUUUUAACGACGCAAGGACCUACAACAUACAAUAAGUGCGUACAUUGAGUACCAGGACGUACAACAUACAAUAAGUGCCUAAGAUGGGUGUGGGGGGUAAGGGGGAGGCUAUGCAGGGGAAUAGCCUCCCCCUAGGGGAAGUCACUGAGCAAGUGAGUCCUGUUCGUAAGCUGAUGAGCGCUUUACCAUCCUGACAUCGGCACGGAGCUCGAUCCACCACUGCGGUGCAAAAGAGCUGUGACUUCGAUGAUCGACCUUUGCUUGCUCUUAGCGAUGGCGGUACCAGGUGUCCAGCUGAGGUAGUUGAGCGGAGCGCUCGAGCUGGGGUAUGGGGUCUGACCAACGCUUGGAGUUUGCAACCUUUGAGUUCCUCACUGAAGCGGUGCACACGUCUACGCCGUACGACAGCCAGACGGCAGGGAUUCACUUAAUCUGUGGCGGUCUGUCGGCCUGCUCGGCCACGCUGGUCUGCCAGCCCCUGGACACCCUGAGGACACGCUUCGCUGCCCAGGGAGAGCCCAAGGUGUACCAUAAUCUGCGACAUGCCGUGUCCACCAUGUAUCGCACCAGCGGUCCGCUGUCGUUCUACCGGGGCCUGGCUCCCACGUUGGUGGCCGUCUUCCCCUACGCCGGGCUACAGUUUUUCUUCUACAGACUCUUCGGUCAGCUUUUGUCGAAGAACUCAGAGGCCGGGAAUUCAGGCGGGAAUUUGAGAAGCCUUCUGUGUGGCAGUGCUGCUGGCGUGCUCAGCAAGACCAUGACGUACCCCUUUGACCUCUUCAAGAAGAGACUACAGGUUGGGGGCUUUGAGGAGGCCAGAGUACAAUUUGGAGAGAUACGGCACUACCGGGGCUUCGUAGACUGUAUGGUACAGAUAGGCAAAGAGGAAGGCCCCCGCGGGUUCUUCAAAGGCCUGUCGCCCAGCUUGGUGAAGGCUGCCUUCUCCACUGGCUUCACCUUCUUCUGGCAUUGGUACAGGAGGAAAAGCAAAGAUGGCCCAAAACACGCACAAAGGAACAGAGAACUUGGCUUCUUCUAUGUUUGCACUGAGGACACCCUCCGUGGGUUUUUACGGGGGUCAGCUAUAUGUUUUUUUUAUAUAUAUUUAUUUUUGUGUUUACAUAUUAACAGGGAACUGUAAGCUGUUGCUUCUCAUUGUAGAGCCAAUUAUAUUUAUAACUCUAUAUUUUACCAAGGGCUUUCGAUCAUUAUUCAUUAUAAAUAUACAUAUUUAGAACCAAUAUUGUCUUUUAAGUGUUUCAUAUAUAUAUAUAUCCCUUGCCAAUGCACUUUUCAAAGACUUUGGCAUGCUUUCAAUAUCAUGUCAAGUAAUGUUUGGGUGUUAAAUGGGAAUUACACAAACACAGAAGUAAUCAUGUUUGUUCAUUUCUAUUGCUUUUUUAUUUUUCUUUAAUCAUUUUGUGUUGGUGGGGAGGUAAUUCAACUAUCAAUAGCUCUCAAAAGCUGAGCUUUAACCUAGACGUUUUUAUAUAACUAUUAUAAUAAACGAUUGAUAAGUGGAAAUAGAUGCGCAUGCGCACAUGGAAAGAAAACAGGAACUGGUUAUCCAGGGCAGAUGUGUUCGUUCUUAUACGAGGUUAACUGCUAUAAAAUAUUUCAUUGUG